CGGGACGGGUGAGUAACGCGUGAGCAACCUUUCCUUCACAGGGGGAUAAGAUACCGAAAGGUGUUCUAAUACCGCAUGAGACCACAGAGCCACAUGGCUUAGGGGUCAAAGGAGGAAUCCGGUGAAGGGUGGGCUCGCGUCCGAUUAGCUAGUUGGUGAGGUGACGGCCCACCAAGGCGACGAUCGGUAGCCGACCUGAGAGGGUGAUCGGCCACAUUGGAACUGAGAGACGGUCCAA
rnacentral:rRNA from 1 species